UGGGUUAGUGGCGGACGGGUGAGUAACGCGUGGAUAACCUGCCGUAUACAGGGGGAUAACACUUAGAAAUAGGUGCUAAUACCGCAUAAGCGCACGGUUCCGCAUGGAACAGUGUGAAAAACUCCGGUGGUAUACGAUGGAUCCGCGUCUGAUUAGCCAGUUGGCGGGGUAACGGCCCACCAAAGCGACGAUCAGUAGCCGGCCUGAGAGGGUGAACGGCCACAUUGGGACUGAGACACGGCCCAAACUCCUACGGAAGGCAGCAG
rnacentral:rRNA from 1 species